rnacentral:rRNA from 1 species
UACGGGGGGGCAAGCGUUGUUCGGAAUUACUGGGCGUAAAGGGCGCGUAGGCGGUCUGCUAAGUUGGAUGUGAAAACUCUGGGCUUAACCCAGAGCCUGCAUUCAAAACUGACAGGCUAGAGUUCUGGAGGGGAAGCGGAAUUCCUGGUGUAGCGGUGAAAUGCGUAGAUAUCAGGAGGAACACCGGUGGCGAAGGCGGCGACCUGGUCCGUGACUGACGCUGAGGCGCGAAAGCGUGGGGAGCAAACAGG